GGUGCUGUACCCAAGAGGCCUAAGGGCGUGGUCUGCAAAACCAUCGUUCAGCGGUUCGAAUCCGCUCGGCACCU
rnacentral:tRNA from 1 species